CUACAGCUACAUCUUAAAGAUCUUAAAGUACUGCUAUGGCGAAAACUUAUAAUUGCAGGCAUGGCCUCAUUCAAAAAAAUCAGCCUCUUAAUAUUUCCCCCUCUUUCUUUCUUUUUCCCUCCUCUUCUCUUUUCCUAUAUUUGUCCUCCGACCUCACCUUCUCUCUCUCUGACCAGCCCUCUCUCCUCUCCUCUCUCUGCGAUUCACUCUGUCCUCUCUCCCCUCUCACCGAUCCGCCCUCCAAACGAAGCCGCCACCUCUACGACGCCGACGCCGACGCCGGUACCCACGACCCUAACUUGUCUCUCUCUUUCAUUCUGCCUCUUCCUUUCUGAUGAAGCGAUUCUCCCACUUCUUCCCUCGCCUCUCGCUUUUCCUCAACCCCGUCCCAGUAUAUAUUCCUCAAUCUCUUGAAGACGCUGCGCCUCAUCUCUCUACCUCAUAGUGUUGUCUUCUUAUUCAGCAUUUGGUAAAUCAACCCCUCAAUAUAAAUGGCUUAUUAAAGAGCUACCAAAAGUGGACAGAACAGAGACACCGUGGCUUAUUAUUCUGGUUCAUUGCCCACUAUACAAUAGUUAUGUGGAUCAUUUCAUGGAGGAGGAACCCAUGAGAGUGGUUUUUGAACCAUGUUUCGUGAAGUACAAAGUUGAUGUUGUUUUCUCAGGCCAUGUUCAUGCCUGUGAAAGAUCUGCAACGGAAAGAAAGGAUAUGUAAAUCAAGCAAAUAACAUGUACCUGUUUCCUGGAAUUGGUUUGGGAACACUUCUCUCAGGUGCUCAUUUGAUCUCAGAUGGCAUGUUACAGGCAGCUGCAGAAUGCCUUGCCUCUUAUAUGACAGACGAAUAUAUCCAAAAAGGCAUACUAUAUCCAUCUAUUAAACGCUGGGUAAAUUGCUUCCAUGGCCACUACUUCAAGCCUUUUCACUUCAACUGCUUUCUGUUGUUAUUGUGUUGUUGUAAACUUAUGGUAAAUUUUGUUAUUUUUCAAUAAAUUUUGUUAUUUCCUUGAACAAUUUUUGUUUUUCAUUUAUUGAAAUUUAUUCCAAUGGGCCAUUCUAUGACAUAAAUCACUACAAGAAUUUGGUAUUGAACAUCAGAAGAUCUCCUUUUCCUUUAUGCUAUUGAAGGUCCUAUAUGUCCAAUAAGUCCUAUAAGGUGAGUGCUUACUUAUUUAUUGAGAAUUAACAAGAAAUUUUGGGUUCAUGUAUUCAAAUAUUGAUUCUCUGUUUUUUUCCUCUUAAUUGUCCUGAUUUAUAGUAUUGUUGAGUUAUUAUAGUUUGGGCUACAAGGAUAUGAGCUUUUGCACACAAAUCAACUAGUAGAUUGACCCAUGAUAAAAGCUCACUUGCAAAAGAAACUUUUCUUUAUUUCUGUACAGGAAUUGGCUUAUGGGGUCAUUUAUUGUUGACCACGGAUUUGGCCAACGACGAGUACACGUCAAAACUACACUAAACUUUCAAGAGAAAAAACGACACUGAUGAUUUUUAUAGUGGUUCAGCCCCAAUGUGUUGGCACGAUUGAUUCUAGUCUAAAUCGUUGUUGGAACUUCGCUUGCAUAACAAUAUUCUGUUCAGUAAGUCGAUGUCACUUCUUGGAGAAAAACUGGUCAGCCAAAACACUUGACCGGUCGGCCAAACACCUCACUGGUCGGCUAAGCACUCCUUCGGUUGGUCAAGCAGCUCACUGGUCGGCCAAGCACUCCUUUAGUCGGUCACGCACCUCUCCGGUCGGCCAAACACCUCACUGGUCGGCCAAACACCUAUCUGGUUGGCCAAGCGCUCCUCCGGUCAGCCAAGCACCUGACUGGUCGGCCGGAGCAGGUAACUGAUCAGUCAAGUAUCUCUUGCCACUUGUCACUUUUAUUGUCACGUCACCAUUUUCAAAAUUUGAGGAUAAUAUUUGCCCCCCAAGUUUAUUAUAUGAUAUUCUCACAUAAUUAACUUUUUUCUCCACCGCUGACGGGAUAAAAAAAAAAACUAUACACACUCUCCCGCCUCUGCAACAAACCACGACGUCUUACUAGACCACAAUCACUGUAAUUAACUGCUCCCAAUCGCGGGGGAGAAAAUAUACCCAAGAGAAUUCAAAGAAUCUAAGAAUAAGUGACAAUUUCCACUUUUCCCUUUAAAUAGACCCAUAAGUGCUCAAUAUUCACAAGCAAAAAGAAAACCAAAAAGCUCCCAAACUCCAUCUCUUAUUGGCUGUAUCUCUCCAAAGCUCUCUCCCCUCUUAGCCGAAAAACUUCAAGAAUUUCAAGAAGGGCUCCAAUUUUCUUCAAGCAAAUCCAAGUGUUUCUCAAGAAAUCAACACAUUUGGGUAAGCUCUUCUUCCUCAUCUCUUUUUUUUUUUUCUCUUAAAGCCAACGAAACUUGUAGGCCGAAACCUCCAUUCAAAAUAUACCUAUGAAUUUGUGUUUGAAUUCUUGAUGAAUGAUGCAUAUUGUGGCUGUUUUGAUGUAGUUUAGGCUAUGGGUAAAUCAAUCUUGUCUCAAAUUUCAUGAAAAUUUGAAGAAAAACUAAUUUUUUACCCCAAAUUGCAUAUUUGGGUUUAUGGAUAUUUGAUGAGAAAUAGGGUCCCUAGAACUUCAUGAACCUUUCAAAUCCCAUAUUUUGAUAUUGUUGUAGUGUAUUUUGAGUGAUAGAAAUGUGUUUGUGUAUAUGCCCUUUGAGAUUCGAGUCUUCUCGAAAAUGGUCUAUUAGGGAGUGUGUUCAUGGCUGAUCGGCCAUUUUCCCACUUUUGAAUAUUCGGACCUGCCCCUAACCAAUUGGGCAUGCCUCUUCCUGCUCGGACACAAGCACAUUUGGCUCAACCUUGUGCCCCACCGAUUGGACACCACGGACUAACAUGACACAUCUCUAGCCUAACAUGGCACAUCUCUGGUCUAGCAUGACACUUCUCUGGUCUAACAUGACACAUCUCUGGUCUAACAUGGCACAUCUCUGGUCUAGCAUGACACUUCUCUGGUCUAGCAAAACACUUGACUGGUCAGUCAAAAAUCUUCACUGGUCGGACAGAAAUUCUAUCAGAUCGGUCAGAUCACUUUAUCACAACUCCGAAGAGCCAACACAUUUAUUGACUAUUAAUGUGCCAUUUACUGACCAUGCAUUGUCACUUCUGAUUGCCACGUCAUCGAACUGAAAUUUUGGGGAUAACACUUAUAUAAUUGAUGUUUCUCAAUUUAUUGAUUUGGACCACCCUCAUGCCCUCAAUUUUCUAUGUGAAGAUUGUGUUCGUGUUUCGGUAAAAGUUACCUGGACAACGUUAAUGUUGAUGAAUGUAUGUACCUCUAUUCAAUUAAAUCUUCAAAUUCUUAGCAUCAAAGCGUUAUAAAAUCUUGGGUGGCAUGCAGGAUAUUUCUUUUCAAAAAGCAUGGUGUGGCUGAUAUGACAAUCAGAGACCUAUUUGAUUUUAUAUUUGAUCCAUGUUGCAGAUGAUGGCGUGGAAAGUUAUCUUGAAGAGGUAUUCCCUUAUGUGCAGUCAAAUGUUAUUUUUAUUUUUGUAAGAAUCAUAGGAAAAAGUCCGACUGCUUUUGUUUUAUAUCAACUGCAACAAAGAAUCAUGUCAAAAAGGGAUAUAGUUGUAGAGGAAGAAAUUGUAGAUUCUGUAUUUGUGUAGGUAUCAUAUUCAAUAUAGAUAAAAAUAUAUCUAAGCA